AUGGCGGUUGCUAACCUUUGUCCUUUGAGGGACUUAUCAGAGUCGAGGGAAUUGGAUAGAGGAGACAAUGAGAGGCGACAAAGAGAAAGACGAAACGGAGGGGAGGUGAGCGGGAACGGACUUGGCUGGAGGGAUGCUGAUGACACGGAAGACGAUGAGGACGAAGACGGGGAUGAGGAGCUUGCGGAAGAGGGUGGGACACCAGAGGAACCCCCAAUGGCAGGGCAGGGAAGUGAGCAUGGGAAUGAAUUGAAUUUUGGGAACUUUCCUGACCUUAGUAACGAUGACUACGACGACGAUGACUACAAUGAUUCUAUAUCUAUCUAUAGUGACUACGGCAAUAGUUAUGUGACCUCUUCGCCUGAUUAUAACGACUAUACCGAUGGAGGUUAUGAUGAAAAUGUCGUCUUUUCUCCAACCGACGGUGCCGCCAGCGGUGGUCGAGAUGAUGAUGCCGAUGAUUUUCGCGAUCAUCUUUCAGACAAAGACAACCAAAACACAGAAUCGUGUCUAAAACUGGAAGAGCUGGACAGUGAAAAGAUUGAAGAAGGUGAAGAAGGUGACAAUCUCGAAGAUGACAGCGAAACCCUCAGUGAGACAAGUGACGAAGACUACGAGGAAUUUCCAGAAAAGCUGUACAGCCAUCCUUCCUACCCAAAGAAGGUCUUCCAAGCUUUAGAAGCGAUGGAGAAGUCCUCAUUCCUCACCGAUCUCAGCCUGACCACUCCUUGCGGGUUUAAAAUUCGGGUUCACUCCCUGGUCCUGGCUGCAGUGAGUGCCGUCGUCCAGCAGAUGAUCCUAGAAAGGGAUGGAAAGAGUCGGAAAGAGACUACGAUGUUUUUGAGCUUUGGUCAAGAAGUGACUGGUGUGGCUCUAUCUGCAGUACUGGAGUUUGCGUACACUGGAACCAUCACUGGUCUCAACAGGUUUACUUUGGCUCAUGUUCGAGCUGCUGCCCUCAGUCUGGGCGUUCCCAGAGUUCUGGAGCUCUGCAAAGAGGAGGAGGAUAGGGAACGAAAGAGAGGGGGAAAGAGGAAGAUGGAGGAAAAGAAGAGCAGAAUUUCUGCCGAGGAGCAGUUGAAGAUCAGCCUGGGAUCCAUCAGGCGGUUGUGGGAAGAACGAGUGGGUUGCGAUUUGGAGCUGGAGGCUGAGGGACAUAUAUUUCGAGGUAAGAUACUGAGCAAUUGUGCUCAAAAUUUAUCUCAAUUGCUUUGUCUAACGUUGUGUCAAGUUCCAUGGAAAUUGUAG
rnacentral:lncRNA from 1 species